rnacentral:rRNA from 1 species
AGAGUUUGAUCCUGGCUCAGGAUGAACGCUGGCGGCGUGCCUAAUACAUGCUAGUCGAACGAAGGUACUUGUACCUUAGUGGCGAACGGGUGAGUAACACGUAUAUAAUCUGCCCUCACGACUAGGAUAACUGUUGGAAACGAUAGCUAAUACUGGAUAGGUAUAUAGGAGGCAUCUCUUAUAUAUUAAAGGACCACUGAUAUACUUGAGGAUGAAUCUGCGGCGCAUUACUUAGUUGGUGAGGUAAUGGCUCACCAAGACGAUGAUGCCUAGCCCGACUGAGAGGUUGAACGGCCCCGUUGGGACUGAGACACGGCCCAAACUCCUACGGGAGGCAGCACUAGGGAAUUUUCGGCCAUGGAGGAAACUCUGACCGAGCUACGCCUCGUGAAUGAAGACUUCUUUCGGUCUGUAAAGCUCUUUUAUAAUGGAAGAAUAUCCCAAGGAAAAAUGGGUCUGACCGCACCUAAUAAAUAAGCCCCGGCUAACUAUGUGCCAUCACCCGCCGUAAUACAUAGGGGGCUAGCCUUAUCCGGAAUUAUUAGGCGUUAACGGUGCGUAGGCUGCCAUUCAAGUCAUUGGUAUAAGUGCAUAGCUUAACGCUGUGAUGCUAAAGAAACUGACUCGCUUGUACGAGAUAGAGGCUAGCGGAAUUCCAUGUGUAUCGGCUACAUCCUUAGAUAUGAGGAUGACACCAUUGGCAAACGCGGCUUGCUGGGGCUCCACUGACUCCGAUGCAC